CCUCGCGCUUGCUGGACUUUCUUGGGUGCCCUGAAGCCUUCUUCACAACAAUUGAACUGCUCUCGAAGUUCUUGAUGAUCCAAUAAAUGGUUGAUUUAGGUGCAGUGGAAAUGUGUUUUUGGGAUUCAGUAUAUUUGCAUCUGAUCACUCUUCAUAACAUUCUGGAAUAUAUGCAAAUUGCCAUCAUACAAACUGAGGCAGCAGACUUCCUGAAAAUUAAUAUUUGUGUCAUUCUCAACUUUUGGCCACGACUGUUCAUUUAUUCACUCUGUGAUAGAGUUGGAUCCUAUAUUCUACUUUUAUUGUCCUGUAAAUGGUUCAGUGCCUAUACUUUAGGCUGUGUGUAGAAUGGGGCAUAAAGGAAAUUACCUCUACUAAUAAAUGAAUACUAGAUUAUAGUGAUAAGGAAAACAGCAAACAAUUUGGCUUGUGUAUUCAUUUGCCUAUUGCUAAUCAUAAUUAUUUUUACAUAAAAAAGAGAAUACUUCAAAAUGAGAAAAUCCUGCCAUGGAAAAGACGACUGGGUGGACAUAAAGUGUAAAGGAGGGGAAAUAACUCCCACCAUGCAGCAGGACACCUUCAGCUGUGGGGUCUUUGUAAUGCAGAUGGCCAAGGAAGUUGCACAGAACUUCUCCAACAUCCCAUCCCAAACUGAUAUGGAACCUUCAAAAACACAUGGAGCAACUGCAACAAGAAAUGGCUGAAGAUAUACAAAAAAUGUCUGAGUUCAACAAAGCCAACAACUGCGUCAUGUGUGCCACUGAUGAAGAACCUGGAUGUGGCCCAAACACUGACUGGGUUAGUAACUUUAUUUAACAUGUUUAUAAUCCUUUGACAACAGUGACAGCAUGUAAGACAAUUUAUGAUAUAACACAAUGGAUGGCUAAUUCAUCAUACUGCAUUGAUAUUUGAUAUUAUUCAUAACGGGUUACGCUUAGUUGUGUUUUUAUUGAAUGUUUUGCAUGCCUACUGAGGUUCCAUGUGCUGUGCCUCGGAAUGAAGACACAAGAGCUCAACAGAGUAAAGAACACAAACUGGAAGUGCAGUCUUUGUUGUUGAAAAUGCUAUACCCCAUCCACACUGAAGAGGCUCUGACAUGUACAUCAACCAGGGAUAAAGAGGAAGUUAACAUGGUGAAAUGUUUCAUACUUAAUUGAAGUUAAGUGUCUGUUGACAUGUUGGAAAAGAUUAAAGGUCUACAAUUUGUUUAA